UUUUGCUUGAAAGAGAAAUGGAGGAAUAUUCAACACUUCUUCCUUGGUUUUCCUCCAACUUUUUAUUUUUUUUCUUGCAGAUGGUGGAGUAAUUGCUUCAGCAAAAGUGGGAUUUGGGAGACUAUCUCCCCAUUCAGAAGUAAAGAAGUAUUUAAAUCAAUUGAAUACCCUUCUUCAUUGAGCCGAACUGAAUUUUGGAGGGACCCCUAUGUGUGUUUCCUUACUCUUUCCAGACACCGGAUGUGGAGGCUUUCUCUUGAAUUGAGUCUUGAUUGAAUGGCCAAUGGUACCACACAUGAAGAUAUCUGCGAGUCUUUCAUAGCGAAUGUUGAACCAUCUUCCUUCCAGCCAUGUAGCUGUUUUGAUAUCCAAGAGGAAGAUCCAAAACUCUCAUCCAAAAGGAAUAACAGGUACUGAAAUAGGGCUAAUGGAAAGCCUGAUUAAAACCUCACUUGAAGGAGGAUUCUUGAAGGGAUCUUGGUUCUUCGAGCCUCACCCUAUAGUCUUUUUUUCAGUGUUAUAUAUUUUUUUUUAUGUAUGAUUAAUUAAACAUAUUCAUACAUCAUAUAAAGUUAUAAAUGUUAUAAUGUAUGGUGGAAUGAUGAAUAUGUAUGUUUUUCAUGGAUCACAAAUAUAAAUGUUAUAUUUUUCCAUUGAAAAUGAA